GGGAGGCAGAGUUCUCCCUGUGGCCGCCAUUAAAGAAAGGAAUCCAUGAAUUCAAAUGGAAACCAGCAGGAACAGAGACCGAAAUAAUGGUUAAAAUUACCGUAAAAAUAUAGGCAUAUGCCAAUUUUCGAUUGGUUUUUAAGGAUGUUAUUCGUUUUUAGAUCGAUUUUGAUGGUGAUGGAGGAGUAGAGGGACGUUUUUAGCAAAGACCGUUUUAAGCUAAGGGGGAGGGGGAGAGUUGCUUAUUUACUCUCCUUUUCUUUUUGUUUUAAAGCAUUUUUCGCUCAUUUAAUUUGUUUACUUCAUGUAUAUUUGAGAGGUCGACAGAGAGGUUGCGAAGACGAUAUUUUAACUGCUUUUAUUUUUGGGCGGACAAUAGCUUUCGAAGGGUUGUUGAAUUACAUACUCCAGCCGAUUGGUAAAAAUAAUUCUCGUUGAUUAGCUUAUACAUCUUGCAAAAUACUACUGGAAAUCGGUAUUUAUUUUCCCCGGAACUGAAAUGAUGGAAUGUUCGAUCUCGCUGUGAAAGGAUGAGUUCUUGUUUUGUACCAAACGGGGCCAGCUUGGAGGAUUGCCAUUCCAAUCUAUUCUGUCUGGCGGACUUGACGGGGAUCAAAUGGAAGCGGUACGUGUGGCAAGGCCCCACCUCGGCACCCAUCCUCUUCCCGGUGACCGAGGAGGACCCCAUCCUGUGCAGCUUCAGCCGCUGCCUCAAGGCGGACGUGCUGAGUGUGUGGCGGCGGAGCCAGAGGCCCGGACGUAGGGAGCUCUGGCUCUUCUGGUGGGGGGACGACCCCAACUUCGCCAAGUUGAUCCAUCACGAACUUACAGCUGAGGAAGACGGUGUGUGGGAGAGUGGUCUGUCCUAUGAGUGCAGGACGCUCCUGUUCAAAGCCAUCCACAACCUGCUGGAGCGGUGUCUCAUGAACCGUAGCUUCGUACGCAUCGGCAAAUGGUUCGUCAAGCCCUACAAGAAGGAUGAGAAGCCCAUUAAUAAGAGUGAACACCUGUCAUGCUCGUUCACCUUCUUCCUCCACGGGGAGAGUAACGUGUGCACCAGCGUAGAGAUCAACCAGCACCAGCCUGUCUACCAGCUGAGUGACGAGCACCUCACCCUGGCCCAGCAGGCCUCCAACCCAUUCCAAGUCAUCCUAAGUCCGUUUGGUCUGAAUGGGACUCUGACGGGUCAGUCAUUCAAGCUGUCAGACCCUCCCACCCAGAAACUGAUAGAGGAGUGGAACCAGUUCUAUCCCAUAAGCCCCAGCUCUAAAGACAAGGACAAAAAUGACUCUCCAUCGGAGGACAAGAUGGAGUACAUGGACUGGGAGGACGACUCGCUGGCCGCUGUGGAGGUCCUCGUUGGUGGUGUGAGGAUGGUGUACCCAGCCUGCCUGGUGCUGGUGCCCCAGUCUGACAUCCCGGCCGUGGUCCCCCAAGGGUCCUCGCACUGCACCGCCGUCUACUCUGGUGGCCACCAAGUGCCUGCAUCCCAACGAGACCCUGCCAUUUCCUCAGUCACCCUCACGCCCCCAACCUCACCCGAGGAGGCCCAUACAGGUACAAUGAUGGACUCCCAGUCGGCUCUGAAGUGGGUGAAGAUGUCGUCGGCUGUGGAUGGCUUCAGUGUGGACAGCACCAGUCACCACGAGGGGAAGAUCCCUCGCAGGCUAGCCAGCCAGGUGGUGGAGAGGGUCUGGCAGGAGUGCAAUAUCAACAGAGCUCAGAACAAGCGUAAGUUCUCAGCUACAGCCAACGGUACCUGUGAGGAGGAGCUGAUGGAGAAAGUAGGGGCCUGGGACUUUGUAGAAUCAACACACAGAUCAAACUGCAACUGCUCCAGGCAUAAAGCCCUGAAACAGCGAGGUGGUGGUACCCCGGGCCAYCCCCAGUCAGCAGGCCAGCCCACCCACACCCAGCCACCCACCAAGCACAAGACUGGGGGUGACAAGCCAGAGAAGAGCGACAAGCAGACCAAGAGGCCACAGACACCCUUCCACCACCGCAGCGCCGCCUGCGAUGACGUUACCAUGGAGACGAAGGCGGCAGGCCAGAGGCUUGCCAUGAGGGCCCAGCAGGAGCGGGGUCGCUUCCCUGGCCUCCACCCUGCCGACGGUGUCACCAAGACCCCCCAGCGGCACGACGGAGGGGUGGGUAGUGCCGGUGGUUCCUCAGAGAUGACAGGUUCCCCCCAGCCCCCUCCCCUCAGCCCCCACCCCUGUGAGCGCGACAGAGGAGAGGAGACGGGUGACGGCUCUUUAAAGAACCCCUCCACCCCACCCCACAGCCAACACUUCUACCAGUCACCCCCGGAGCCCUGCCUGGCGGAACAGAAGGGUGGCGUCGGGGACCACCGUGGACUGGAUGGCCUGGCCCAGCACUUCCACCACCCCCACACGGCCUACCCACCCGAGCCCGCUGAUGGCCACAUCUAAGCGGCCUCUGAAGGUGUCUGAGGAGCGCGUGCAGAUGUACAUUCAGCGGAGGAACCAGUACCUGGUCGCCGCCAUCACCGACGAUGACCAUGAGCCUGAGGUGGACCCCUACGCCUUCGAGGACGGGGACGUCAAGUUCUCCUUCUCCGACAAGAAGGACAAAACGGGUGGCGAACGCCAGCCCGGGAAGAAACACAAGGGGGAGGAUGGAGCAGCAGGUCCAUCAGAUGACGCAGCACGGGAAGCAGCAAACGCACGCACUGCGUCCACUAGCCUAAUCCACGAGACCGACCUGGCCGUGUCCAUCAACGACCUUGACAACCUCUUCAACUCUGAUGAGGACGAGCUCACGCCUGGUUCCAGACGUGCGGUGAAUGGAACAGAUAAUACAUUUGGCAACAAGGAACCAAAGCCAGCCCCUCUUGACCCAGUCUCCUGCAUCAGCUCGGCAGACCUGCACCAGAUGUUCCCCACUCCCCCCAGCCUGGAGCAGCACAUCAUGGGCUACUCCCCCAUGAACAUGGGCAGUAAGGAAUACGGCAGCAUAGAGGCUGGACAGGGCAUGACCAACCUGGACGGUACCUCGUCCCUUGGGGGACACUUCAAGAUUGAAGUGGAGGAGGGCUACUGCAGCCCCAAGCCACAGGAAAUCACGGACUUCUCGUUUGUAUACCAGCCGGAGCUGUGCCAGGCAUUUGUGGGCUGCUCCAUGUUUGCCCCCCUGAAGACCCUGCCCAGCCAGUGUCUGCCCCCCAUCAAGCUGCCAGAGGAGUGCAUCUACAGGCCCAGCUGGACAACAGUGGGCAAACUGGAAAUGCUCAACCACCCCCAUGUGUCCGCCCUGGCCUACCUCAACAAAGACAGUAACAUCCCCAGUGUGGGCAGUGCCAUGGGACCAGGACUACAGCCAGAGCUACACACCCCAGACCCAUACGCCCUUCAUGUCCAACAGUGCCCCCCCAGCAACAGUGGCACGGCAUCCUGCCCUCACCGGCCACCCCGCGCUGUUCUCCGCCCCCCACACCACGCACUCCCCGUACCCCACGCACCCCCAGAGACCCGCCAGUGUCCAGGGCUUCGCUUAAGACGAGAACUCAGACCUCUACUCGCCUGCCUCCACCCCCUCCACCUGUCGACCUCUCAACUUCAGUGGAGCCAGCCACCGUGCCCUCCAUCCCCGAGGCCGCACAGCCUCUUACGUCACCCUCAUCCUCGUCUGAGGUCCGUCAUGAACCUCUUCAAGGACUCAACUUCGACAGCUGCUGCAUCUGCGUGUGCAACAUGAACAUCAAGGGGGCCGACGUGGGUGUGUACCUGAGCGACCCCACGGGAGAGGCCAGUACCCUGCACCUGCGGCUUCAGCGCUGUGGUCAACCGCCGCUACGGCAACGGCUCGGGCCUCUUCCUGGAGGACGAGCUGGACAUCAUCGGACGCGACUCGGACGUCAGCCGCGAAGCGGAGAAGCGCUUUGAGGCCCUGCGACAACAUUCGCUGGAGAGGACGGGUGGAGGAGGGAGGGGGAGAGGGGUACCAGACGAACUGAUCUUACUGCUACAGGACAGUGCACCAACCCCUUCUCACCCAUGGCUGCGAAUGGAGCCUGACAGCCUGGCAGCCGGCGGCCGGGGUUGCCAUGCUCUGUGUGUUCUCUUUCUAACUGUCCUCCCCCUCUCCCCAGCGGUGGACGUCAGUGCUCUGUGUGUUCUCUUUCUAACUGUCCUCCCCCUCUCCCCAGCGGUGGACGUCAGUGCUCUGUGCUCUCAGGACGUGUUGCGGGUGCUGCUCUCUCUCCAGCCUGUACUCCAGGAUGCCAUCCAGAAGAAGAGGACGGUGCGCUCCUGGGGCGUUCAGGGACCCCUCACCUGGCAGCAGUUCCACAAGAUGGCUGGACGGGGCUCCUACGGCACAGAUGAGUCUCCAGAGCCCCUGCCCAUCCCAACCUUCCUGGUGGGUUAUGAGUAUGACUUUGUGGUGCUGUCUCCAUUCGGCCUGCCCUACUGGGAGAAGCUGCUGCUGGACCCCUUUGGCUCCCACAGGGACGUGGGCUACCUGGUGGUCUGUCCCGACAACGAGGCCCUGCUCCAGGGGGCUAAGAGCUUCUUCAGGGACCUCACCGCCGUCUACGAGUCAUGUCGUCUGGGCCAGCACCGGCCAAUCUCAAAAGGUCACCCGGACGGCAUCGUGAGAGUGGGCGGAUCGGCUGCUAAGAAGCUAGCGGAGCAGCCCGUCAGCGAUUGGUUCAUCAAGGCUGCCAGCGGCAACAGCGAUGCCUUCGCCAAACUCAAGCUCUAUGCACAAGUCUGCCGCCACGACCUCGCUCCAUACCUCGCCGCACAGCCUUUAGACAGCUCCCUCCUCACACAGCCCACGCCUCCUCCUGCCACCAACCAAUCCUCAUCCACACAAUCCUCUGGCUCCUCCUCCACCACCUCGGCUUGCCCCCAAAACUCAGCGACCCCCUCCCUCCCCAACAACAGCAACAACAGCAGCAGCGUGCCUAGUAACAACACUGGUGUAGCCAACAGUGCCAACAGCACGGCGUCGUCAGGGAGCCAGCCCAGCAGUGGGGUGCAGUCUGCCAAGCCCAGCUCCUUCCCUCCCUUUGGGACCAUGAGCAUGCAGAACCAGGGCCAGGGUGGUGGCACCCAGGGAGGGCAGCUGGGACAGCAGGCUGGUUCCCAGAACACAGGACUCCCCGGGGGGGACUCAGCCAGCCAGGCCCAGGCACCCACUGAACCCCUUGAGAGACUGGAGUAUUCUGCUGAGCAGGAGGAACCUGCAGUCUCUGAGUCGCCGUCUCAAGGAGGUGUGUCGUAUGUGUGGCAUCUCUGCCUCCGACACUCCCAGCAUCCUUAGCGCCUGUCUGGUCGCCAUGGAGCCACAGUGCUCUUUUGUCAUCAUGCCAGACUCUGUGUCUACAGGCUCAGUGUUUGGCCGUAGCACCACUCUGAACAUGCAGACGUCCCAGCUGAGUACUCCUCAGGACACGUCCUGCACACACAUCCUGGUGUUCCCCACUUCAGCCUUCGUCCAGGUGGCCAGCUCCAACUACACUACUGACACCAACAUAGACAUCGCCUUCAACCCUAUCCCCGAUGGGUCGGACGCCAUCGGGAUCUUUGACCUGCUGGAUCAGGAGAACGACCUGGUGGACCCUGACAUCAUCAACAUCCUGCCCUCCUCGCCCACCACCUCACCCGUACACUCCCCCGGCGGCCACUACCACCAGGGGGGAGACGGCAGCAAGGGCCAGAGUACGGAUCGGAUGGAAUCCCAUGAUGAAGCUCCUAACAUCCUGCAGCAGCCCCUGGCCCUGGGCUACUUUGUGUCCACAGCCAAAGCCGGCGCACUGCCUGACUGGUUCUGGUCAGCUUGCCCUCAAGCUCAGAACCAGUGUCCUCUUUUCCUCAAGGCCUCUUUGCACCUCCACGUGUCUUCAGUGCAAUCAGAUGAACUGCUGCACAGCAAACACUCCCAUCCCCUUGACUCCAAUCAGACCUCGGACGUACUCAGAUUUGUGCUGGAGCAGUACAAUGCCCUCUCUUGGCUGACGUGUGACCCCGCAACGCAGGACCGGCGCUCCUGUCUGCCCAUCCACUUUGUGGUGCUCAACCAGAUGUACAACUUCAUCAUGAACAUGUUGUAACAAAUAGCCUGAGGGGGAGUAGGAGAAGAGGGGACACGUCUAAGGAAAUUCCAACCUGACAGGCUGAUGCUGGACUGCAGUGUUGGACUUCACUAUGCGUUGUGUGGGUCUAGAUCUGAAUAGGAGUUCAGAGGGCUUCCGGAUGGAAGGAAGCCCUCAGCCAUAACAACGGGCAAUAGAAACGGCUCAGUCUGCUCCUGCCACUGUGACACACACAAGAAGAUGAAGAAGGAAGAGGAGGAGGAAGAAAAUGAGGGAGAUUUCUGGAACGGGUUAUGCUAAUAACAGGAACAAGAGAAAAAGAGAUCCAUAGUCAGACAGUCCUUUUGGAAAACGUCUGUAAAGUAUUGGAAGAAAAGGGACAUUUCAGUGAACAAAAACUUGAGAAUGGAUCCUUGGCUUUAAGACCUGAAAUAUUCACUAUUUUCCUUUGGAUAAAAUGUUAUCCAAAUGAAAAGCCUGCAUCUAUCUUAUUUAUUAUAAGUUUUUAAAUGUAUAAUUUGUCUUAUUUCUUAAACUCUUUUAUAUAUAUAUAUAAAAAAUAUAGAAGGUUUAUAUCGCCUUCCUGCUUUUUAAGCAARUUGUCGAAGAUAUAUGUAAUAAUCUUAAUUAAAAAACAAACAAAAACCCAGAAAGAUUUAAUAAAGUUGCAGUAGGUUGCUUUUAGAGUAUUAUUUUUUUGUAUUGGGGACAAAAUAUUUGUAUUGUCARGAUGUACAGAAGAAGUAGAUUGGAGAAUUAUGUCCAUGCCUUUGUGCGUGCAGGAUUUACAGCUAAGCUGUAGCAGCAGUGGACUUGUACAGCAAUGAAGUUCACUGUGUUCAAAUAAAGAGGUACAUUGUCGUAUAUAGUAUUUUAUACCACACAUUUAGACACACAAACCAAAUGGCAAUAUAUAUAUAUAMAGAGAUAUAUAUGAAUGCCAUGCCAGCGAUGGGUGGUGCGGCUUCUGUUUUAGGAAUAAAGUGUUAACUCAAUUUUA